GGCUGGAUAGCUCAGUUGGUAGAGCACUAGAACAGCAAUCCAGAAGUCGCAGGUUCAAAGCCUGCUCCAGUCA